CCCUUAGAUGUUCGGGGCCGCACGCGCGCUACACUGAUGCAUUCAACGAGCCUAUCCUUGACCGACAGGUCCGGGUAAUCUUUGAAUCUGCAUCGUGACGGGGAUAGAUUAUUGCAAUUAUUAAUCUUCAACGAGGAAUGCCUAGUAGGCGCAAGUCAUCAGCUUGCGUCGAUUACGUCCCUGCCCUUUGUACACACCGCCCGUCGCUCCUACCGAUUGGGUGUGCUGGUGAAAUGUUCGGAUCGGCCGUUUGUCGCGGUUUCCGCGGCUCGUGGCUGAGAAGUUCAUUAAACCCUCCCACCUAGAGGAAGGAGAAGUCGUAACA
rnacentral:rRNA from 1 species